UCAGCUCAGUGUGGGCAGGCCCUUCUUUUUUGUUAGGAUGACUGUCCUCUGGAUUGUAAACUUCUUUUAUCUGGGAAGAAAUCCCCUUAUUCUUUUGCAGUUGACGGUACCGGAUGAAUAAGCACCGGCUAACUCCGUGCCAGCAGCCGCGGUAAUACGGAGGGUGCAAGCGUUAUCCGGAUUCACUGGGUUUAAAGGGUGCGUAGGCGGGCUGGUAAGUCAGUGGUGAAAUCUCGGGGCUUAACUCGGAAACUGCCAUUGAUACUAUUUGUCUUGAAUACCGUGGAGGUAAGCGGAAUAUGUCAUGUAGCGGUGAAAUGCUUAGAUAUGACAUAGAACACCAAUUGCGAAGGCAGCUUACUACACGAAUAUUGACGCUGAUGCACGAAAGCGUGGGGAUCAAACAGGAUUAGAUACCCUGGUAGUCCACGCCCUAAACGAUGGAUACUCGACAUACGCGAUAUACUGUGUGUGUCUGAGCGAAAGCAUUAAGUAUCCCACCUGGGAAGUACGAUCGCAAGGUUGAAACUCAAAGGAAUUGACGGA
rnacentral:rRNA from 1 species